UACGUAGGGUGCAAGCGUUGUCCGGAAUUAUUGGGCGUAAAGAGCUCGUAGGCGGUCUGUCGCGUCUGCUGUGAAAACCUAGGGCUUAACUCUGGGCGUGCAGUGGGUACGGGCAGGCUAGAGUGCGGUAGGGGAGACUGGAAUUCCUGGUGUAGCGGUGAAAUGCGCAGAUAUCGGGAAGAACACCCGUGGCGAAGGCGGCUCUCUGGGACGGUACUGACGCUGAGACGCGAAAGCCAGGGAGCGAACGGG
rnacentral:rRNA from 1 species